ensembl:lncRNA
GUUUUUCUAGAGAUCCUUUAUCCUCUCCCCCAACAAGCACUUUUGGAGGAGCUUUCAUGUACCAACCUAGUGUCUUCUUAUACAGCAAUCCUGAAGAGCAAGAUGACCUGAAUAAUCAAGAAGUGGUGGGAUUCUGGACAUGCUCACAUUUGAAGGCAUUUAUUUCUUGUACAGCUGUUCCAAAGUGUUUAGAGGCAGCUUUUCAAAAAUGGUCAGGUAAAAUACAUUCAUAACUACUAACAGCAAAGCUGCUCCUGAAGAUAGAAGUGAGUCUGUACAAGAUAUGAGGAAUGAAAAUAAUUCAGGUAUACUGGAUUUUUGGUGGAUUUGAGGGCAGAAGCUAUGACUCCAGUCCUACAUGUAUCUUCAAAUCUCCCUCAUUUCAUUGAAGAAGAAUACCUCAGACUCAAAUUGCCUGGGAUUCAUUCCAAUCUGGACUACUGUCUUUACAGUUUGUACUGUUUCAUCUCUGUGUGCAUUGGUUUCGCAGCUUGUAAAAGAGGAUAAAUGUAUAUGUCUCCCCUUAUAAAGCAACUCAGGAUGCACCAGUGGAAAGUAUCCUUUAAGAACGAGGCAUUAUUACUGAAUUCCAUUCAUGUGAGUGUAAUUGCAGGACUGGCAUUACAGAUUUUUUGUAGGUUAUUUAAAUAACCAUAAAAACCUGAACUCGUACUGAUUGCUCCUGCCCUUAUCUGCAAAUAGAUUCUGACUCUACUUGCAAGGAUAGUAUUGCCUAUGUGGGAUUGGACUCACUUUCAGUAAGGCCACAUACAGCCCACAAAAUAACAGAUUAUCAGGCAUUUGUAUGCUGACUGGCCUUCUCGUGAUAUGUUAUUAGAGGUUGGUGCUCAAGGGAGGGGUGCAGUGUGCAAACAACAUUAAACCAGCAUUUCUGAUAUUUUCCUGUAUGUUCACCACAGAGCCAACGCAUUUCAUAACAGUUCAUACAACUUUUAUGUAUGCCUUAUAGCAUAUAAUCAUAUAUUUUGAUUACAGUAAAGUUAUGGCUGUCAACCUUCGAAACCAAUGAGUUCCUUGUACUUAUUGCUUGCAAAUAAAAACUUAUGAAUAUGAAUGCUAAAGGGUCAGAAGCUGAGAAACAGUGGACAUAUGUCACUGCUUAAAUGGUUCAGUCUGGAUUUAGGAAAACUGGAAACUACUCCACCAACAUUCACAUCUGACAUCAUGGACCAAGAUAAUAAAAUAGGAAGCAUUACUUUUG